CGUAAUGGCAGUUGUAUGCGGGAGGCCUCUGGCCUACCGGGUGACCUUCUUUCCGGAUUUCCACCCCGUGUACAACUGCCGCCCUC
rnacentral:antisense_RNA from 18 species